UGAUCCAUUAGCUCAGUUGGUUAGAGCGUGGUGCUAAUAACGCCAAGGUCGCAGGUUCGACCCCUGCGUUGGGCCAU